rnacentral:tRNA from 1 species
GGAGGCGUGGCUCAAGUGGGUAGAGCACAUGCUUAGCACGCAUAAAGUCCUAGGUUCAAUCCCCAGUACCUCCU